AUUGAACGCUGGCGGCCGGCCUAACACAUGCAAGUCGAGCGAGCGGCGGACGGGUGAGUAAUGUAUGGGGACUGCCCGAUAGAGGGGGGUAACUACUGGAAACGGUAGCUAAUACCGCAUACUAUCGGAUAACCCAUAUGGGAUUAGCUAGUAGGUGAGGUAAUGGCUCACCUAGGCGACGAUCCCUAGCUGGUCUGAGAGGAUGAUCAGCCACACUGGGACUGAGCCACGGCCCAGACUCCUCCGGGGGCGGCAGUGGGGAAUAUUGCACAAUGGGCGAAAGCCUGAUGCAGCAAGCCCGCGUGUAGGAAGAGGGCCUUAGGGUUGUAAAGUACUUUCGGUCGGGAGGCGUUACCGACAGAAGAAGCACCGGCUAACUCCGUGCCAGCAGCCGCGGUAAUUC
rnacentral:rRNA from 1 species